UACGUAGGGGGGCUAGCGUUGUCCGGAAUCAUUGGGCGUAAAGCGCGUGUAGGCGGUUCGGUAAGUCCGCUGUGAAAGUCGGGGGCUCAACCCUCGAAAGCCGGUGGAUACUGUCGGGCUAGAGUACGGAAGAGGCGAGUGGAAUUCCUGGUGUAGCGGUGAAAUGCGCAGAUAUCAGGAGGAACACCGAUGGCGAAGGCAGGUCUCUGGGCCACUACUGACGCUGAGAAGCGAAAGCGUGGGGAGCGAACAGG
rnacentral:rRNA from 1 species